rnacentral:lncRNA from 1 species
AUGAAGCUCAAGAGAAGAAGCUGCUGGAAAGGCCUGGCUGAAGCUCCAAGGCAGAGGUGUGUCCAGAAGAGGAUUUGGAGCAUCCCUCUGCCCAUUUGGUGGUCCAGCCUUCUUGGCCAGACUCAGGAAGUGAUGCCCUCCCGUACCAAGAGAGCCCGUAGGUCCAUCACCGUAUCCCUGGGCCUGACCGUCAGGGGCAUCAUCAGGUCCUCAUCAGCCAGGUGCACCUUAAUGUGGUACCUCUUCCAUCGAGAAAGGCUCCUGCGCAGUGUGUCCAUCCUCUCCAGCUCAGCAGGGCCAGUGUGGCAGAGCGGAGCAUCCAGCUGGGAGAUCGGCAAAGCAGGGAUGUGGCUCUGA